UACGGAGGGUGCAAGCGUUAUCCGGAAUCAUUGGGUUUAAAGGGUCCGCAGGCGGAUUUAUAAGUCAGUGGUGAAAGCCUACAGCUUAACUGUAGAACUGCCAUUGAUACUGUAAGUCUUGAAUUCGGUCGAAGUGGGCGGAAUGUGUAAUGUAGCGGUGAAAUGCAUAGAUAUUACACAGAACACCGAUAGCGAAGGCAGCUCACUAGGCCUGGAUUGACGCUCAGGGACGAAAGCGUGGGGAUCAAACAGGAUUAGAUACCCUGGUAGUCCACGCUGUAAACGAUGAUUACUCGUUUUCGGCGAUACACAGUCGGAGACUAAGCGAAAGUGAUAAGUAAUCCACCUGGGGAGUACGAUCGCAAGGUUGAAACUCAAAGGAAUUGACGGGGGCCCGCACAAGCGGUGGAGCAUGUGGUUUAAUUCGAUGAUACGCGAGGAACCUUACCAGGGCUUGAAAGUUAGUGAAGAAUGUGGAAACAUGUUCGUCAGCAAUGACACGAAACUAGGUGCUGCAUGGCUGUCGUCAGCUCGUGCCGUGAGGUGUUGGGUUAAGUCCCGCAACGAGCGCAACCCCCAUCUUUAGUUGCCAGCGGAUAAUGCCGGGGACUCUAAAGAAACUGCCUACGCAAGUAGUGAGGAAGGCGGGGACGACGUCAAGUCAUCACGGCCCUUACGUCCUGGGCCACACACGUGCUACAAUGGUAGGUACAGAGGGCAGCUACUGGGUGACCAGAUGCGAAUCUCUAAAGCCUAUCUCAGUUCGGAUUGGAGUCUGCAACUCGACUCUAUGAAGCUGGAAUCGCUAGUAAUCGCGCAUCAGCCAUGGCGCGGUGAAUACGUUCCCGGGCCU
rnacentral:rRNA from 1 species